rnacentral:rRNA from 1 species
CCUACGGGAGGCAGCAGUGGGGAAUAUUGCACAAUGGGGGAAACCCUGAUGCAGCCACGCCGCGUGAAGGAAGAAGGAUUUCGGUUUGUAAACUUCUUUCAGUAGGGAGGAAAAUGACGGUAUCUGACUAAUCAGCACCGGCUAAAUACGUGCCAGCAGCCGCGGUAAUACGCAGGGGGCAAGCGUUAUCCGGAUUUACUGGGUGUAAAGGGAGCGUAGGCGGUUUAGCAAGUCAGAAGUGAAAGCCCUGGGCUCAACCCCGGAACUGCUUUUGAAACUGUUGAACUAGAGUGUAGGAGAGGGAGGUGGAAUUCCUGGUGUAGCGGUGAAAUGCGUAGAGAUUAGGAGGAACACCGGUGGCGAAGGCGGCUUACUAGACUAUAAAUGACGCUGAGGCGCGAAAGCGUGGGGAGCAAACAGGAUUAGAUACCCUUGUAGUC